rnacentral:pre_miRNA from 1 species
UCUGGUGAGGUAGUAGGUUGUAUAGUUUAGAAUCUUACCUUGGUGAACUAUGCAAGUUUCUACCUCACCAGA